rnacentral:rRNA from 1 species
GACGAACGCUGGCGGCGUGCCUAACACAUGCAAGUCGAGCGGAGAUAAGCGGAUGGUAACUGAAGCUUAUCUUAGCGGCGGACGGGUGAGUAACACGUGGGCAACCUGCCUCAAAGUGGGGGAUAACACCGAGAAAUCGGUGCUAAUACCGCAUAACAUACAGACACCACCUGGUGACUGUAUCAAAGGAGAAAUCCGCUUUGAGAUGGGCCCGCGGCUGAUUAGCUAGUUGGUGAGGUAAUGGCUCACCAAGGCGACGAUCAGUAGCCGACCUGAGAGGGUGACCGGCCACACUGGAACUGAGACACGGUCCAGACACCUACGGGAGGCUG